rnacentral:lncRNA from 1 species
UUUAUAUUGUAGUGUUGCUAAUGUGUGAUCUUGGGAAUGAACAAGAAAGGACAGCUUGUUGCUUAACAGUGAUAGGUUUGUGUGUCAAGUUGACAAGGGGUCAGCUUGACACAGACUAGACUCAUCAGAGAGGAGGGAACCUCAAAUAAGACAUGCCUCUAAAAAAUCAGGCUGUGGGCAAGCCAGGAGGGCAUUUUCUAAAUUAGUGAUUGGUGGGGGAGGGUCCAGCCCACUGUGGGCGGUGCCAUUCCUUGGGCAGGUGGUCCUGGGUUCUAUAAGAAAGCAGUCUAAGCACGCCAUGAGGAGCAAGCCAGUAAGCAGCACCCCUCCAUGGCCUCUGCGUCAGCUCCUGCCUCCAGGUUCCUUCUUGUUUGAGUUUCUGUCCCGACUUCCUCCAAUAAUGGACCAUGAUAUGGACGUGUAAGCCGAAUAAACUCUCUCCUCCCCAACCCGGUUUUGGUCACGGUGUCUCCUCAAAGCAAUAAAACCCCUGACUAAGACGGUGAGAUGGGCUGACUAGAGUAUAGGAAAAGACUCAGGUUUAGCAGUCAUCAGAGAGUGAUCAGCAAGAGGACAUGGGGAAGAGGGGGAGUUACGUCUGCAGCUGGUCUUUGCUACUUUGUGGGUUCUUUUUCCUACCCUCUCUUCCCCCCUCCCAGGUUCACCCCCAGUCACUAGAUAGGAGGAGAAAGGCAGAGACAGAGAGAUCCCUGAAUCUCAUCUCUUUCCUUUUGUUUAUUCUUUGAGCAUGGCUACUAACGAACCACAACCAGCCUCCGUGGGCUCUAACAUUUCUCUACCCUCUGAGAAAGUUUCCAGCUUUCCAAACGUCACAGAAUCGCAGACACCAUCUGCAGCUGGCAAAAACCACGCCUCUGCUAACGUAUGAUGCAAAUCACAGUCAGCUGCUAUGGACGGUUGGAAGCAGCCCCACAACCCCACACCUGGAAUUAAAACGAAAGUACAUUUUUAUAAUAUGUAUGGCUUUUUAAAAAAGAAACCAAAAUUCCAGAAUUCUCAUUACAGCUGUCUCUCCAUGUCCAUGGCUGGUACUAAACCUCUGGGGUGCUCUGUUUUUUUUGUUUUUUUUUUUUGUUUUUUUAGUAGUUUCCCUAGUCAUGACCUGUGCAGGAGCCCCAAAAAGCAGCCACUAAAGCACAGUUUGCAGAGGCCUCAAGACACUUCCCCUCCCCUGGCCUCUGGAAGGAAAAGAAAAGGCCCAGCCUUGGGGCCAGGGAGUACGUGCUGACGGCUGCUCACCUUGGGCCUGGGGCGGAGAAUCUCCUCAAUACAAUGUGUGCAGGAGAGCCAGGAGCCAAGCUUCUCCCAAUACACAGGGUUCACUUGGAAGACUGUUCCUUGCCAAAGCACAGGACACUCAACACAAUCUUCAGGCCAGCAGGGAUGGCCCUGUGCUGCUGAUGAAGAGGAUGUAUUUUCAAUAUCAAUAGAUUAAAUUUAUUAAUAAAGAAAGAAGAUUAGAAACUUAAAAAAUCAGUGAAUGAUCCAGUGGAGGGGUCUGUUCAGCUACACCACUGGCUCAUCCCCAGUGACUGAGGCCUGAGGGCUUCAGUGAGUGCUUGAGACUGAGGCUUGCAUGGUAACUCCAGAGUCUGACAUCUGUGAGGGGAUUGAGAGGUCCUUUCAGGCUGCUCCCCAACCCUGGGUUACAAUAUUCAGGUCUUUGUACUUGCUGUUCUCUUGUGGCCACCCCAUGAUGAUCCCAUGGCUGUCCUGUCCAAUUUUGUGUCAAACAUCACCUUCUCAGUGGCAACAUUUCUUUUUUUCUUUUCUUUCUUUCUUUCUUUUUUUUUUUUUUUUUUUGGUUUUUGGAGACAGUGUUUCUCUAUGUAACCCUGGCUGUCCUGGAACUCACUUUGUAGACCAGGCUGGCCUCGAACUCAGAAAUCUGCCUGCCUCUGCUUCCCGAGUGCUGGGAUUAAAGGUGUGCACCACCACCACCUGGCUCUUUUUUUGUUGUUGUUGUUUUUAAUGUAGUGUGUCAUGAUGCAGUCUGGGCUCGCUCAAUCUUGUGAUACCUCUGUUUUAACUUCCCGAGUGCUGGGAACCGGCUACCUUUUCUAAAGCUUCUCGUUCUGUCCCCCGUUUCCUGCUGUGUUUUUCCGAAAAUUUAAGCACUGAGUGUUUUCUAAUAGUCUGCAGACAUCCAUCUUUUCGUUACUAUAACAAAUGCCGGAGGUGAUCAACUUAUGAAGAGCUAAGGGUCCCUUCUCCUCAUCCUUCAGGAGACUUCUGCGCAUGAUCUGUGUCUCUCCCUGUUGCUUUUAGCACAUCAUGACACGGGGUGUGGUAAACUAAAGACACUCAUGGCCCAGAACUGAAAGAAACAACAGAAGGGAAAAGCCCAGAGUCCCAGCAUACUCUUGAAGAGCAUAGCCUGGUGGCUUACAACCUCUCACCCCUGGUUUUAAAAGGAAAUAAAACUUGAGACCUGUGAUUCAUGUAAUGUAUGUCAAAUAGCCCAAAGAGCCCAAAGAGUUGUUUGUGAGCUUUGAAACCUGGGGCUGAGAACAUAGCAGAACAGACCAGGACAUGCCCGGGCAGGCCCAUCGCCUCCUUAUCUCCCACUCCUCUGACCUAAGUUAAAUAUUAACAGGCUGCUGAUGUUUAAAUGGACCAAUCAUGUGAAACCGCACCAAUUCCUCCCCCAGUCCCACUCCUUUUCUAUAAAAACCCCUAGCUUCCAAGCCUCAUGGUCGAUUCUACUGUCUCCUGUGUGAGAUUCGUUUCGACCCGGAGCUCUGUCAUUAAAAUACCUCAUGUUGUUACAUCAAGGUGUUGUGUUCUAUUCGUGAUUCUUGGGUGCAUGCCGAAUCGGGAGUUGAGUGGGGAUUUCCCCACUAGGUUCUUUCAUUUCGAGGUCCUACCGAGAUCUACGUGACACCCAGGAACCCUGAAGGACCCCUUGGAGGUGCAUUUGUUUGUGUGAGUCUUGUAUGUUGUCUGUUGUCUAAGUGUCUAAGUGUGGCACUGCUAAAUUUGUGUCUUAGUUUUUCAGUUCUGAGAUUGUGGGUUUGAGCCCCACCUGUGUUACCAGUUCUGGUAUUCUGUAUUCUGGCAGCUGCCACUGUGGACCGUAAGGACCCUAGUGGCUGUGGGAAGAUGACGGUCUAUUUCCCCACAGGCUGCACCACUAGAAGACAUUCCGAGGGAGAUCCUGGAGUGCCUGGGGUACGGAACAGUCAGGAGGACCUGGCUGUUGCUUUGGCAGAGUGAAGAAGAGUGAGUGCUCUUCCUGCCAGAGGAGUGGACGCGGAAUCCCACUCCAUCAGAGGUGCCGCACCAGUUUGAAGUAGGAGACGCAGUCCUGGUGAGGAGACACCGAACGGGAAACCUAAAGCCGAGGUGGAAGGGACCCUACUUGGUGCUACUGACAACGCCCACCGCGGUCAAAGUGGAAGGAAUCCCCACUUGGGUCCACGCAUCCCACGUCAAGAGAGCACCCCCGGGAGUCAGCCAUGAUGAGUGGACUUUGGAGAAGACUACUAACCCUCUUAAGUUGUGCCUGCUUCGUAGGAGCGAUCCCAAAGGACUUCAACCCCCACAGUCCUGUUCAACAAACGUGGGAGGUAUUCAAUGAGGGGGGUAGGGCUGUAUGGACAAUCGCCGAGGUACACCCUCUGUGGACUUAGUGGCCUGAUCUUUCCCCUGACAUCUGUAAGUUGGCUAUAGGAGCCCCUCCUAGAUGGGACUUGGAGGGGUACUCUGACAUUCAGAGCACCUUUAACACCCCCUCCGUACGUAGAAAAACAUUCAAGAGACCUAUGGGGUGGUUGCUCUAACCAAAGGGAUAGAAGUAUGCUUCGAACCCAUCCCUUCUAUGUCUGCCCUGGGCCCCACCAAAGUCAGUCCCUCAAUCCAACAUGUGGAGGUAAGGCUGACUUCUUUUGCAAGAGCUGGGGUUGCGAGACUUCAGGUACAGCCCGCUGGAAGCCCUCCUCGAGCUGGGACUAUAUUAGAGUAACAGCCAACUAUUCCCUAGCGUCUUACAUACCUGGAGGAUUUGACCUAGACGAGUGUACUGACUGGUGCCAUCCGCUCCGUGUCACCUUCACUGAACCAGGGAAGAGAGCUCUGGGAUGGACAAAAGGGUAUACCUGGGGUCUUAGGAUUUACAAGGAAAGAUAUGAUGAGGGAUUAUUGUUCACUAUCAGAUUAAAAAUACAGACCCCCUACAAUCCUUUAGGCCCCCCCAACCAAGUCCACACCCCUCACCCAUACUAUUACUCAGCCUACUCCAGUGAUUACUCCCUUAAUAUGGCCGCUAUCACCCAACCUCCCACUCCUCAGGUACCUCUAACUAUUACCCCCGCAAUUCCUUCAACAAGACAGAGGAUGUUUAACCUAGUGAGAGGAGCCGUUUAUGCCCUUAAUAGAACUGAUCCAAGCGCUACUGAGGACUGCUGCUGGCUAUGCCUGUCCUCGGGUCCGCCUUAUUAUGAAGGAAUUGCCUUCAAUGGAGAUUUCAACAAAACCAGCAGCCAUACUUCCUGCUCUUGGGGAACAGGACAAAAACUGACCCUGACUGAAGUAUCCGCAAGGAGUCCAGGUCUCUGUAUAGGCACCCCACCUUCCACCCACAAACACCUAUGUGGACAAAUUCAGUCUGUGUCCAGAACGGAAGAUAAUUACUAUCUUGUACCUUCCCCAGUUGGAUGGUGGACUUGCAAUACAGGACUCACUUCCUGUGUAUCAACUAAGGUUUUUAAUUCAUCUCAUGAUUUUUGUGUCAUGAUCCAGCUGUUACCCCGAGUAUAUUAUCACCCUGCAUCCAGUUUAGAAGAAAGUUAUGCUGGCCGGCGGUCAAAAAGAGAACCAAUUACUUUAACCCUGGCUGCAUUCAUGGGAAUAGGUAUGGCAGUAGGAGUGGAGAUGGAGUGUCAGCUUUAAUAGAAGGAAGACAGGGAAUUCAGUCUUUGAGGGAUGCUGUCAAUGAAGACCUAGCGGCAAUAGAGAAGUCCAUUGACGCUUUAGAAAAAUCUUUGACCUCCCUGUCUGAGGUAGUUUUGCAGAACAAGAGAGGUCUUGAUUUGUUGUUCCUAAAGGAAGGAGGACUGUGUGCUGCCCUUAAAGAAGAGUGCUGCUUCUAUGCAGAUCAUACAGGAAUAGUUAGAGACUCUAUGCAGAAACUGAGAGAAAGAUUAGAGCGAAGGAAACGGGAAUGGGAUGCUCAACGGGGUGGUUUGAGUCAUGGUUUGAAUCACGACCAUCUUGGAUAACUUCUUUGAUUUCCUCUGUAGCCGGACCAAUCCUUAUGAUAUGCUUACCUUUAGUUUUCGGCCCUUGUAUAAUAAAUAGAGGAAUGACUUUUAUCUAGAGUAGAAUUGAUACAGUAAAACUCAUGGUUCUUCAAAGGCAAUAUCAACCUAUAGUUCAGGUAGAUGAAGAGUUAGGGGACACCAAUCUCUAAAAUUCUAUGAUUAGAAUUAGUCUAAACAGAAGAAGAGGGGAAUAAAAGAAAAUAAAACUUGAGACCUGUGAUUCAUGUAAUGUAUGUCAAAUAGCCCAAAGAGUUGUUGUGAGCUUUGAAACCUGGGGCUGAGAACAUAGCAGAACAGACCAGGACAUGCCCAGGCAGGCCCAUUGCUUCCCUAGCUCCCACCCCUCUGACCUAAGUUAAAUGUUAACAGGCUGCUGAUGUUUAAAUGGACCAAUUAUGUGAAACCGCACCAAUUCCUCCCCCAGUCCCUCUCCUUUUCUAUAAAAACCUCUAGCUUCCAAGCCUCGUGGUCGAUUCUACUGUCUCCUGUGUGAGAUACGUUUCAACCCGGAGCUCCGCCAUUAAAAUACCUUGUGUUGUUACAUCAAGGUGUUGUGUUCUAUUCGUGAUUCUUGGGUGCACGCCGAAUUGGGAGUUGAGUGGGGGUUUCCCCACUAGGUUCUUUCAGUUUCACCUCAUUAAAGGUGUGAAUCACUACUGUGUGACCCUAUUAGGUUAUUUGCUUAGUUCAUUUCUGCAUGUGUGGUCAAUCUCUUUCUCUCUCUCUCUCUCUUUCUCUGUGUGUGUGUCUCAGUCUGUUUGUCUCUGUCUCUCUCUCUUUUUUUCUUCUUCGAGACAGGGUUUCUCUGUGUAGCCCUGGCUGUCCUGGAACUCACUCUGUAGACCAGGCUGGCCUGGAACUCAGAAAUCC